rfam:Formosa sp. Hel3_A1_48, complete genome.
GGGGAUGUAGCUCAGUUGGCUAGAGCGCUUGACUGGCAGUCAAGAGGUCGUCGGUUCGAAUCCGAUCUUCUCCA